rnacentral:rRNA from 1 species
GUGUCAGCCGCCGCGGUAAGACAGAGGGUGCAAACGUUGUUCGGAAUUACUGGGCGUAAAGCGCGUGUAGGCGGCUAUGCAAGUCGGGCGUGAAAUCCCACGGCUCAACCGUGGAAGUGCACUCGAAACUGCGUAGCUAGAGUCUCGGAGAGGAAGGUGGAAUACUUGGUGUAGAGGUGAAAUUCGUAGAUAUCAAGUGGAACACCGGUGGCGAAGGCGGCCUUCUGGACGAUGACUGACGCUGAGACGCGAAAGCGUGGGGAGCAAACAGGAUUAGAAACCCCUGUAGUCC